UGCAAGUCGAGCGGACAGAAGGGAGCUUGCUCCCGGAUGUUAGCGGCGGACGGGUGAGUAACACGUGGGUAACCUGCCUGUAAGACUGGGAUAACUCCGGGAAACCGGAGCUAAUACCGGAUAGUUCCUUGAACCGCAUGGUUCAAGGAUGAAAGACGGUUUCGGCUGUCACUUACAGAUGGACCCGCGGCGCAUUAGCUAGUUGGUGGGGUAAUGGCUCACCAAGGCGACGAUGCGUAGCCGACCUGAGAGGGUGAUCGGCCACACUGGGACUGAGACACGGCCCAGACUCCUACGGGAGGCAGCAGUAGGGAAUCUUCCGCAAUGGACGAAAGUCUGACGGAGCAACGCCGCGUGAGUGAUGAAGGUUUUCGGAUCGUAAAGCUCUGUUGUUAGGGAAGAACAAGUGCGAGAGUAACUGCUCGCACCUUGACGGUACCUAACCAGAAAGCCACGGCUAACUACGUGCCAGCAGCCGCGGUAAUACGUAGGUGGCAAGCGUUGUCCGGAAUUAUUGGGCGUAAAGGGCUCGCAGGCGGUUUCUUAAGUCUGAUGUGAAAGCCCCCGGCUCAACCGGGGAGGGUCAUUGGAAACUGGGAAACUUGAGUGCAGAAGAGGAGAGUGGAAUUCCACGUGUAGCGGUGAAAUGCGUAGAGAUGUGGAGGAACACCAGUGGCGAAGGCGACUCUCUGGUCUGUAACUGACGCUGAGGAGCGAAAGCGUGGGGAGCGAACAGGAUUAGAUACCCUGGUAGUCCACGCCGUAAACGAUGAGUGCUAAGUGUUAGGGGGUUUCCGCCCCUUAGUGCUGCAGCUAACGCAUUAAGCACUCCGCCUGGGGAGUACGGUCGCAAGACUGAAACUCAAAGGAAUUGACGGGGGCCCGCACAAGCGGUGGAGCAUGUGGUUUAAUUCGAAGCAACGCGAAGAACCUUACCAGGUCUUGACAUCCUCUGACAACCCUAGAGAUAGGGCUUUCCCUUCGGGGACAGAAUGACAGGUGGUGCAUGGUUGUCGUCACCUCCUGUCCUGA
rnacentral:rRNA from 1 species